UACGAAGGGGGCUAGCGUUGCUCGGAAUCACUGGGCGUAAAGCGCACGUAGGCGGAUUGCUAAGUCAGGGGUGAAAUCCUGGAGCUCAACUCCAGAACUGCCUUUGAUACUGGCAACCUAGAGACUGGAAGAGGUUAGUGGAAUUCCCAGUGUAGAGGUGAAAUUCGUAGAUAUUGGGAAGAACACCAGUGGCGAAGGCGGCUAACUGGUCCAGCACUGACGCUGAGGUGCGAAAGCGUGGGGAGCAAACAGG
rnacentral:rRNA from 1 species